GUUCCUGUAACGAAAUGGAUAACGCUUUGGACUUUUAAUCCAAAGGUCAUGGGUUCAAAUCCCACCAGGGAUG
rnacentral:tRNA from 1 species